GUCCUCAGCCACUUCAGCCUGCGAGCCCGGGCCUGGGUGCCCUGGUCCAGGGCCCAGGCCGAGGACACCGCAGGUUCUGCCGACCUUGUAGCAGGCUUUGCCCAGCUCUCCAUCCACCUCGUUCCUCUCCACCUACGAUCAAUCAGGCCUCGUCCCUAUUAAAACAUACCGCAGAGGAUGAGAUGUUUGGAUGGCAUCAUCCACUUGAUGGCCGCAAUUACAAAGAUUUGCCCAGUUUCAAGGGGAAAGAACAGGGACUCCCACACUUGAUGGAGUGUCACUGACACAUUUCAAGAGCAUGGGGGCCCAAGCAAGAUCUUAUGACAUUACCUUUAUUCUCUUCAAGAAUAACCUGGAAAUGGGGGCCCAAGAAGCCAGAUAGUAGACCAGAAGGAAAUGUUGACAUCACACCCUUUCACCCUCAUCUCUCCCAAUG
ensembl:lncRNA